rnacentral:rRNA from 1 species
CCUACGGGCGGCAGCAGUGAGGAAUAUUGGUCAAUGGACGAAAGUCUGAACCAGCCAUGUCGCGUGCAGGAUGACUGCCCUAUGAGUUGUAAACUUCUUUUGUACGGGGGUAAACGGAGACACGCGUAUCUUUUUGUAAGUAUCGUACGAAUAAGGAUCGGCUAACUCCGUGCCAGCAGCCGCGGUAAUACGGAGGAUUCAAGCGUUAUCCGGAUUUAUUGGGUUUAAAGGGAGCGUAGGUGGUGGGGUAAGUUAGAGGUGAAAUUUUGGGGCUCAACGUUGAAAUUGCAUUUGAUACUGGUCGUCUGGAGGAUAGUGGAGGUAGGCGGAAUGUGUGGUGUAGCGGUGAAAUGCUUAGAGAUCAUAAAGAACCCCGAUUGCGAAGGCAGCUUACCAAGCUGCUUCUGACGUUGAGGCACGAAAGCGUGGGGAUCAAACAGGAUUAGAUACCCGGGUAGUC